UGUCGGCGGCGAUGCGUGUACGCACCGGGAUCGCGCUGCCGGAUCACGGCCUAGCCGUCCUUCAGCUCUUGUGGCCUCCAACUUAAAGCAGAAAGGAAAGAAGGCAGCACGAAAACAAAGCAGUUAACCUCCGGGUGGUCAACAAGAGCCUCCUGAUGUGCAAUCUGUGUGGAGCCGCAGCCGCAGGUGUUCCUGUGGCAGACAGACUCGGAUGAGGCGCGUGUUCCUUCAGCCCUUUGGCACGGAAGUUCUUUGGCACUGCCCCGCUCCUCCUGACACCAUCCUGCAGAGCCCUGCCCGGCGUGCAGCAGCACCUGGCACUGGUGUUACAGGUGCCCGGGGCACCGGGGGCUGCCACCACCCGAGCCCACAGCCCCAGGCGCUUCCCCCUGACACCGCUGCGAGCCCCUCAGCCGCAGGAGCCCCCCACGGGGCAGCCAUUCCCUCGAGCUGCCCCAUUCCCUCGGAGCCCCUC